GACGAACGCUGGCGGCGUGCUUAACACAUGCAAGUCGAACGGUGAAGCCCAGCUUGCUGGGUGGAUCAGUGGCGAACGGGUGAGUAACACGUGAGUAACCUGCCCCAGACUCCGGGAUAAGCCUUGGAAACGAGGUCUAAUACUGGAUAUGAGAUGCCCCUGCAUGGGGAGUGUCUGGAAAGAUUUAUCGGUCUGGGAUGGACUCGCGGCCUAUCAGCUUGUUGGUGGGGUAAUGGCCUACCAAGGCGACGACGGGUAGCCGGCCUGAGAGGGCGACCGGCCACACUGGGACUGAGACACGGCCCAGACUCCUACGGGAGGCAG
rnacentral:rRNA from 1 species